rnacentral:tRNA from 1 species
AAAGAAUUAGUUAAAAUAUAAUAUAAGGUUGUCAGCCUUAAGUUGCUACUUUUAUCUUAGCAUUCUUUA